rnacentral:rRNA from 1 species
UGUGUAGGCGGUUGCUUAAGUUUGGUGUGAAAUCUCCCGGCUCAACUGGGAGGGUGCGCCGAAUACUGAGUGACUCGAGUGCGGGAGAGGAAAGUGGAAUUCCUGGUGUAGCGGUGAAAUGCGUAGAUAUCAGGAGGAACACCGGUGGUGUAGACGGCUUUCUGGACCGUAACUGACGCUGAGACACGAAAGCGUGGGUAGCAAACAGGAUUAGAUACCCUGGUAGUCCACGCCCUAAACGAUGCACAUUUGGUGUAGGUCAUUCAGUUGAUCCGUGCCGGAGCUAACGCGUUAAAUGUGCCGCCUGGGGAGUACAGUCGCAAGGCUGAA